rnacentral:lncRNA from 1 species
AAGAUACUCAACACUGUGGGCAAACUAAUGACACAUGUUAAGGAAUUCAGUCUUAUGGAAAUCAUCUAGAGGUUUGGAAAUUAGCCACUUUCUUCUCUAUCAAGAAGAAAGACUAUGUUAUCCUCUCAUUUGCCUUCUGAACAGCAAGAAUGAAAAUUCUUUCCAAAAUCAUAGUGGGUUUUUCAAUAUCCACACAGAAAAUGACCAUUUCUUAGUCUGGUUACUUCAACCUUCACAAUGACCAUUUCAAUGAAGUAUUGUGACCUAACUGCCUAGAAAUCUGCUGCAACUCCACUGACCAAAAGAUCUCUAUGGAAAUAAUAAUUCAGUGUCUCUGGAUUACUCUUGGAUGUUUGGGUAGCAAUUUCAUGAUCAACCUAUUGUUUUACCUCCAACACAGCUUAACCCACAUUUUCAAGGAUGAAAAUUAACUUCUUAAGAAAAAAACUACUAUACAAUAAGCAAUCAAAAGUCUUGGAAGAAGGCUAGGUGGAAGAUUAAGCUAGUGCCGUUAAGCUGGAGUGGAUUGUCAUAAAUCACACAAAUGAAAAUAAAAGGGAAAUUUUGAAAAUGA